UUGUCUUUUUUUUUUUUUUUCUUAACAGGCUUAGAGUGUUUUGCUUAAAUGUAUAUUUUUAUUACUCUCUACUGCAAGAUUGCUCCUGACUCAGCAGCAGGAUGGAGGAAGUUUGAGGAUUGAGAAACUGUUAACUUUGGUGACUUGGGGAGUCUCCAUAUCUGAGAAAGCAAAAUGUUGAUUUCUCACGGCCCCUCAGCCACUUGCCAGCCCUGAGCCAAUUCACAGACCCAGAACCUCAUGAAGGAAAGGGAGGGCGGAUCCCCUUAAGAAAGGACUGUGCUACAUUGCCGAAAUACUGUGUAGUGGUUUCAGCUUUAUUUCACACUUUUUCCUACAAGGGAUCCUAAACUCCUAGGAAAGCGCUGACAGUUGUUGUUUGUUUGUUUGUUUGUUUUAAAUAAAUGUAUUUAUUUAUUUA